rnacentral:rRNA from 1 species
GACGAACGCUGGCGGUGUGCUUAACACAUGCAAGUCGAACGGUAAGGCCCUUUCGGGGGUACACGAGUGGCGAACGGGUGAGUAACACGUGAGUAACCUGCCCUCAUCUCUGGGAUAACAGUCGGAAACGGUUGCUAAUACUGGAUAUGAGCUUGCAAGGCAUCUUGUGGGUUGGAAAGAUUUUUUUUGGUUGGGGAUGGACUCGCGGCCUAUCAGCUUGUUGGUGAGGUAGUGGCUCACCAAGGCUUCGACGGGUAGCCGGCCUGAGAGGGCGACCGGCCACAUUGGGACUGAGAUACGGCCCAAACUCCUACGGGAGGCAGCAGUGGGGAAUAUUGCACAAUGGACGGAAGUCUGAUGCAGCAACGCCGCGUGCGGGAUGACGGCCUUCGGGUUGUAAACCGCUUUCAAUUGUGACGAAGCUUUUUUGUGACGGUAGCAGUAGAAGAAGCACCGGCUAACUAUGUG